CUCCUUUGUCUAAGAUGAGUUGGCUGUAUUUAUGUGGGUCUGUCUCUAGGCUCUCUAUUCUGUUCUAUUGAUCUGUUUGUUUUUCACCCAUACUGUACUGUCUUGAUUACUGUUCCUUUGUAACAAGUGUUGAGGUCAGGUAGUAUCAGUCCUCCAACUUUGUUCUCAUUCAGUGUGAUUUUGGGUCUUUUGUCUCUU